CAUGCCUUACACAUGCAAGUCGAACGGCAGCGGGGGAGAAGCUUGCUUUUCCUGCCGGCGAGUGGCGAACGGGUGAGCAAUGCAUCGGAACGUGCCCGAUCGUGGGGGAUAACGCAGCGAAAGCUGCGCUAAUACCGCAUACGGUCUGAGGAUGAAAGCGGGGGACCGUAAGGCCUCGCGCGAUCGGAGCGGCCGAUGUCAGAUUAGGUAGUUGGUGGGGUAAAGGCUCACCAAGCCAACGAUCUGUAGCUGGUCUGAGAGGACGACCAGCCACACUGGGACUGAGACACGGCCCAGACUCCUACGGGAGGCAGCAGGGGGGAAUUUUGGACAAUGGGCGAAAGCCUGAUCCAGCAAUGCCGCGUGCAGGAAGAAGGCCUUCGGGUUGUAAACUGCUUUUGUACGGAGCGAAAAGGUUCUCUCUAAUACAGAGGGCUCAUGACGGUACCGUAAGAAUAAGCACCGGCUAACUACGUGCCAGCAGCCGCGGUAA
rnacentral:rRNA from 1 species